rnacentral:misc_RNA from 1 species
AAGUCUGCACUUCCUUGAAUAGAAAUUUAUGUGAUUAAAUCUAAGUUUGUGAUUCUUCUUUUCAACAGUAGCAUAAAUAUUAAUUAAACAAGAAUACUUUUUAUUUUUAGUUAAAACAUGUAUGAUUUUGUUUGAUAGGUUGGGUUUGCAAGCACUUCAUUCUUGAGCGGACUGAAAGCUGUGAGCAUUUAUGUAAAAUGUCUAAAUAAUGAACAAAUUAUGGGAAAUAACUGUCCAAAUAUGGGUUAGUAUGAAUAUGAUGAACACACA